UACAGAGGUCUCAAGCGUUGUUCGGAUUCAUUGGGCGUAAAGGGUGCGUAGGUGGCGCCGUAAGUCGGGUGUGAAAUUUCGGAGCUUAACUCCGAAACUGCAUUCGAUACUGCGGUGCUUGAGGACUGGAGAGGAGACUGGAAUUUACGGUGUAGCGGUGAAAUGCGUAGAUAUCGUAAGGAAGACCAGUGGCGAAGGCGGGUCUCUGGACAGUUCCUGACGCUGAGGCACGAAGGCCAGGGGAGCAAACGGG
rnacentral:rRNA from 1 species